rnacentral:rRNA from 1 species
AAAUACCUCUUGGUUUGAGGACUGUCGUGCGCAAGCCGGCUUUCCUUGCACUUUCCAGUCUAUGUUUUAUAAUAUACACCUAAAGUAUGUUUCAGAAUGUCAUUUAAUGGGCAUAACUGCCUUUAAUUACCAUACAACUUUCAACAACGGAUCUCUUGGCUCUCGCAUCGAUGAAGAACGCAGCGAAAUGCGAUAAGUAAUGUGAAUUGCAGAAUUCAGUGAAUCAUCGAAUCUUUGAACGCACCUUGCGCUCCUUGGUAUUCCGAGGAGCAUGCCUGUUUGAGUGUCAUUAAAUUCUCAACCUUUUCAAUCUUUUAUUGGUUGAAUUAGGUUUGGAUGUGGGAGUCUUUCUGCUGGCUUCUUUAAGAGGUCGGCUCUCCUUAAAUUUAUUAGCAGGACCUUUGUUGCCCUCUCAGCGUUAGUGUGAUAAUUAUCUACGCUAUUUGCUGAAAGCAACUCAUAAAAUAGGGUUUCCAGCUGCUAAUCGUCUC